GGAGGACUGCCCGAUGGCGGCGGCACUGUUCGAGCCGCCCUGCAGCGGUGUGGAGACUCCGACCAGUUGGGGCAGGCGGCUCAGGUCGCGGCCAGCCAGGGGUUGGGAAACUAGUUUCCAUGGCCAAACCUAGCCCACCGUCUGUUUUGUUUCCUGUUCUUCCCAACCUGCGCUAUGGACUUCAUCAGAUUUCAGCAUCAGAGAGAAUAUGGAAGGACAUCGACCCUAACUUCAUCCAGUGAGGAUUUCCACACACCAUACACUCUCUGAGAGUUCUCUUGGCUUUGUGUGCACACCUCCAGUGACAGGGAGCUCGCUAUGUCAUGAGGCAGCCUGCUCCCUUGUGGCUAUCACUGAACCAACUAUUAAGCCUUCUUAUACAAACAGUCCCUGACUUACUGUUAGACUUACAACUUUUUGAUUUUACAGUGGUGCAAAAGCAAUAUGCAUUCCAUAGAAACUGUAUUUCAAAUUUUGAAUUUUGAUCUUUUCCAGGCUAGCAACAUAUGAAGACCAACCUUCUAUUUUUAAAAUAGGCUUUGUGUUAGAUGCUUUUGCCCAACUAUAGGUUAAUGUAAAUGUUCUGAGAAUAUUUGAGGAAGGCUAGGCUAAACUGUGAUCUUUGGGAGCUUAGAUAUGUUAAGUGCAUUUUCAACUUACAAUAUUUUCAACUUACGAUGAGUUUAUUGGGAUGAAGCCCGUUGUAAGUAAAGGAGCAUCUGCAUUAAGCUAAAAUCCAUGUCUAUAACUUCCUCAGUAAUAUCAAGUUUGUUCCUUGGAGCCAGAGAAUAAACUGAAUCCUUUUCCA
rnacentral:lncRNA from 10 species